AUACAGAGGGUGCAAGCGUUAAUCGGAUUUACUGGGCGUAAAGCGCGCGUAGGUGGCUAAUUAAGUCAAAUGUGAAAUCCCCGAGCUUAACUUGGGAAUUGCAUUCGAUACUGGUUAGCUAGAGUAUGGGAGAGGUUGGUAGAAUUCCAGGUGUAGCGGUGAAAUGCGUAGAGAUCUGGAGGAAUACCGAUGGCGAAGGCAGUCCCCUGGCCUAAAGCUGACACUGAGGUGCGAAAGCAUGGGGAGCAAACAGGAUUAGAUUCCCUGGUAGUCCAUGCCGUAAACGAUGUCUACUAGCCGUUGGGGCCCUUGAGGCUUUAGUGGCGCAGCUAACGCGAUAAGUAGACCGCCUGGGGAGUACGGUCGCAAGACUAAAACUCAAAUGAAUUGGCGGGG
rnacentral:rRNA from 1 species